rnacentral:rRNA from 1 species
UACAGAGGGGGCAAGCGUUGUUCGGAAUUACUGGGCGUAAAGGGCUUGUAGGUGGCCAACUAAGUCAGACGUGAAAUCCCUCGGCUUAACCGGGGAACUGCGUCUGAUACUGGAUGGCUUGAGUGUGGGAGAGGGAUGCGGAAUUCCAGGUGUAGCGGUGAAAUGCGUAGAUAUCUGGAGGAACACCUAUGGCGAAGGCAGCUCGCUGGGACGUUACUGACGCUGAGACGCGAAAGCGUGGGGAGCAAACAGG